rnacentral:lncRNA from 1 species
CCGUGACAUGUAUAAAAUUUAAUUUUUGCAUAAGACCACACUCAAUUUAAUUUUCUCAUGGGAAACAAACUUAAAAACCAAAUCAUAGUAAAUAUAAAAGUGAACCACCAUAUAAUGGACAAAUAUCAAUGUAGUUGACAAUUUUUCCAACAUUAUAAACCUUAUAUUAAGAUUUAUAAUUUUGCUCAUUAUUUCAAGUGUUGGGUGUUAUCACUAUGUAUUAUAUAAAGCUGAAAAAACUAAUAUGACAUGUUGUAUUGGAUUGAUAUGCACCACCACCCAAUUAUAUUCACACCAAGCAUGCUCCAUUUUUCUCUUUUAAAUGGCCCUGAAAUAACCAAAUCAAUAAAUGUAAUUCCUAAUAGCCAUUCUUUCUUUGUGACAUUUCUAAAUAAGACAUCAUUCACAAUGCUUCAUCACAAAAGACUAUGAGAUAAUUUCUACUUACAAUUCAAUCAAAUUGUGAUGAUCCAAAAGACCAUGGUACAAUUGAAGUUGUUCGAAAUCCUUAGCAUAUAAGCUUUGAUAACCUUUAUGACAAAGAAAAUGGAUAAUCACGAUGAUUUAGAUAUAGUGAUACAACUUAGCAUUAUUAACAAAUCCAAAUUAGAGUUUACCUUUGUAAAAUGCAUCAUAUGAUUACUAUCAAGGUACUUAUUAUGGACACAUGAANNNNNNNNNNNNNNNNNNNNNNNNNNNNNNNNNNGAUUAGGGAAUCUAGAUUCAGGAAAAAAAACCUUUAAUAUAUAGGAAGAAGGUUAUUAUUUGAGAAUAUAUAGGUUACUAUUCCUAAUUUGGGACAAAGGAGUACUAUAUGUUAUUAUUUGAAAGAAUGUUACUAUUUGUAAUUUGGGACAAAUGAGUGCUAUUUGGGACAUAUGAGUACUAUUCAAAAUAUAGGUAUAGGUAGGAGGAAUGAUUGCAUGAUAAGAAUUUUGUGAAUGACAUGAUAGCAAGUUCCAAGAAUACAUGUAAUCAAUAGAAUUGAUAAAGAAGUCAUGCCAAUAGAAUUCAUAACAAUGAAAUCAUUGCAUCAUGUGAAUGACACAUAAACAACUAACAUAUGAAAGCUGAGAAAGUAAAGGAACAAAAGACAACAUGUUGUCUACAAAUUUUAGGGAAUGAACAUAUUGAAAAAAAUUUAGUAUAAAUUGCUAAACAUAAAUUCAAAUUAAAAAAUGCUACAUAAAAAAAAUAGACUAAUUACUUAAAAGAAAAUUUAAAAUAUAAUUUAUUAAUCAUAAGUUACAAUGAUGGUAAAAUUAGUGUGAAUGUAGUUUUAGGAGGAGUUGGUUUACAUAGGGUUAAUGAAUUCAUCUAUGAAGACACUUAUUCAUUGGCAUACAUGCAUGAUGCCACUUGUCUCUUGACUUCUUUACACAUGUCAAAUGGAGCAAGAAAUAGAGAUAAUAGGUAUAAUCAUUAUAUGAUAGCUAGUAAUAGGGAUAAUCAUGAUAGGAAUAGCUAGUAAUAGAUAUAAUGAUGAUAGAGAAGCAAUGAUGGCAUUAUAUGAUCAUGAAAGGAAGGUUGCAUGUGAUGUUAGAAAGAUGUGGUAGAUUAAUCACCUAAUUAUUGAAUGAAGGAUAUCAAGAUGAGAUAUUGAGAACAUGUAAACUUGCUCACAUUAUUUGCAGCUUCNNNNNNNNNNNNNNNNAUCUUGCCAUUUAAGAAAGUAAACAAAAAAUUGGAAUCAACACAAUGAAGCUAAGUGAAAAUAUCAAAGUAAAUUAAAACAUUUCAUAUAAUUGAAAACACUUUUGACAAAAGGAAUCAAGAUUAUUCUUUAAAAUCAGUUUUUCUGCACAAACAUAGCAACAACACCUUAACUUUCGCAGUUUAAUUAAAAUACCAAACGAUAUCCGUUUUGAGUAAACGACCACUCGUUGGAAAGAUUAGGAUGUCAAGAUUACAGAUAUAAUUUUUGUUAUAAGUGUUAACCAUCCAAUUGGUCCAGUUUAACAAAAGAUUGGGUAUUGGUACAGAAACAGAUUUUUCUGCACAACCAUAGCAACAACACCUUAACUUUGGCAACUUAAUUAAAAUACCAAACGAUAUCCGUUUUGAGUAAACGACCACUCUUUUGAAAGUUUAGGAUGUCAAGAUUACAAAUAUAAUUUUUGUUUUGAGGUUUAACCAUCCAAUUGGUCCAGUUUAACAAAAGAUUGGGUAUCGGUGCAGAAACAGGACUAAAACUAUACUCAAACUUGUAGGUAGCUUUUCUCCUAUUAUACUUAUGGGAAUUUAACAUUUUCGGUGACUAAAUUGUAGGAAAUUUUGUCUUCUUUGUAGUGGAUUAAAAAUAUUUAGCAUAUGACCUAUAUUCAGAGAGUUAUACUAAAUUUACCACAUGUAUGUCUACACAAAUUUCACCUAAAUAUUUCUUCUUUUACAUGAACUUGCAGCCUAAACAUAUACUGUCCAUUUUAACUUAUAAAAUUUCUUUUGUCCAUCUUCUAGGGUCUUAGGGUUUGGUAUAAAAGAGAAAGAAUAAAAAGAGAAGGUUGGUUUGUCUUACCUUAGUUUUUCCAACACCCAAAAGCUUGAANNNNNNNNNNNNNNNNNNAGUUUUUCCAACACCCAAAAACUUGAAUCUAGGAGAAUUUCAUACAUGCAAAACUGAAGUUGAAAAAUAUAAAUUUGAGAGACUGAAAUUUGUUCAUAAAUCUGCAGAUUCAUCAAAUGAACUUAAACAAAUCAAUCAAGAAAAACAUAUCAAUCAAUAAGAAAUUGCAUACCCAAAAAAUUCAUAAAAAAAAAAAGAAUAAAAAUUGACCUUGUUGUUGACUAUGAUCCAUCAAUCUUUCUUGUGAUUGUGUUUAGCCAGAUCCUCAAAGGUUAAAAUCUUUGAUGUUGAACUCAUCUUCUUUUACUGCAAAAUCAUAAUAAUCAUUAUUGUUAUUAUUAAAAUUAAUCGAAUAACCCAUUCCCAAACCAAAACACAAUCUUCAAUCAAUAAAACAAACACCAAACAGAACAACUAAAAUAAAACAAACAAAGCAGAAAAUUGAUAGGGGAAGAACAGACAAAAAAAAACGAAAAAAAAUAAAGAAAGAAGCAAAACAGAUCGAACCAGAUGAAAGAAGCUCCGGCGGCGACGGUGGCCGGCGAUGGCUCGCCGGAAUCUGGGGAUGGGUGGUGGUGUUCUUGUUGUUCUUCAUGAUGUUCAUGAAGAUGGUGAGAAAAUAGAGAGAGAUAGUAGGGAGAAAAGAGAGAAGAGAGAGAAAGAAAUUUGAGAAAUAAAGAAAGUAGGAGAAAAGGAAAUAUAUAUUAGUGAAACAUAUAUGUGUCAAGAAGUGAUUGGCUAGAAAAUAGGAUUAGGUGUCAAUGUGAAGAUUGAACCCUAAAAUGAAAUGAAAACC